CAGCCACAAGUUUAUUAUGGCUGCCUUUUUUAUAGGGGCUUUGAAUUUCCUGGGUUAGAUAGCUGAUUAUAUGGGAUCUCUCCCCACCCUGUUCUCUGUGUGUCUGCAUCUAAGCUUGAACAGAGUUGACUAAGGUCUCUGUUACCACUUCUCUAGAAUGUGCCAGGAUCAGUGCAGAAAUAGAUUAUGUAAGUCCAUCCGAAGACUUGGUUUUAACCAGUGUUAAAAGAAGUAAAUAAAUAAAUAGGAGGAGAGAAUUGAUGGACUGCUGGUUUGACCAGUGUGGUUGGAGAGGUGGUAAUUCCAUCCUCCAAUCCACAGUCACCUUCAGAAUUCUAUAAA